ensembl:snRNA U6 U6 spliceosomal RNA
GGGCUCACUUUGGCAGCCCACAUACUAGAAAUGGAACGAUCCAGAGAUUAGCGUGGCCCCCGAGCAAGGAUGACGCAUCAACGAGCCAUUCUGAUCAGGGUGUA